rnacentral:lncRNA from 1 species
UGGUCAAAAGUGUUUUGACCAAGGACCAAAAUGUUCUUUCCUUCUCACUCAGUAGACCCACAUCCACCGUCCCACAAAUCUUUCUCUCACAUUUCUCAAAAGUCAAAUCUCUUCAAAUAUUUAUCCCUAUUUCACAUUCCAAAGCUGUCACCCAAAUAUAUCAAACAUUAAUUUCAACGUUUUGCUUUGAUCUCAGCUAGAUUGGGUGGAAAAUAUUGUUUUUUAAUUAUGAAGAUACCAAUUCCAUCAGUCCCAUGAACAAGCAAGGGAUAUUGUACAUAAGAUUAAGCAAGCAAUCUUGGCACGUAAGCAUGCUCAAUUGUUGUUCCUGGUUUUUCUUCCUUGCUAAUGUGUAGUACCUCACUAUGUUUUCCUCUUUCCUGUAUAAAAUAGUUGCUUUUACUUUUCCUUCUUUUAAUUAAUGUUUGUCUCUUUUGCAAUUAUGUUUGAUUCCUUUUGGCUUUGAUGCAUCUGUUGGUCUAUUGUUUGCAGAAAAAAUGGUAGAGCAAAUGAUACAAAGCACGUUGCACGAUAAUGAUACUUGUGUGGCCAAAGAUUGCAAAACUAAAAAACAUCCCAAAAGUAAAAUUGUGUUGCACCAAAAUAUAGCAAAGUAAUAAUGUAAAAACUUUAUAACUGAGUUUUGAUUUCUUUCCUUUUUUUCUCUUUAAAGCAUGCUCUUAUACAUUUUAAGAUGACAUAUCAUAAAGUUGAUAUUCCCCGAAUACGUCCUUGGAAGGAGCUCAUUGUCAGUGGAGCCCCAACAACUUGGUUGGUGAUAUUUUAUAUUAGCAUAUAGUACUUUGUUGUUACAAACAUAAUGUAGUGAUUGACUCUAUAAAUGCUUAAUUAGCAUGUAAACCUAGACUUAAAUUAAUUAACUUAACCAUCAUGUUAACAACUUUAUUUUGCCCUUUUAGAGGAAUUCCUUAAUCAGAUGGCGCCAUGGCUAUAGUCAUACCCAUCUUUCUGUUAUUUAUGUGUCCAUAGCCACCGUCGCCGCCGCUGCUUGAUUCACUCAAUGCAGGUUCAAGGGCAACUCCAUGCUUGGAUGAACGAGUUUGAUGAUUUGAACUAGCAGCAUCUGAAGGUGGAGGAUACAUACUAGCCCUAGAGUAACGGUCUAGACUAGAAUCUGGAGAGUGACAAUUUGGAUCAAUAUAACUUGGAGGCUUUGGAGAGACCUUACUAGCUUCAGACAUAAAUGUCACACUUAGUAAAACCAAAAAUACAAAAAAUGUUGUACAUUUUGUUGUAUCCAUUUUUAGUUCUAAGUUCUCACAUUAAUUUCUUGUGAAUGUCCAAUGUUUAAAUAUUGAAGGAUUGGUUAGCAAAUCACGUACAGACUUCAAUUGUAUGGGAGAGUUAUUUUUGCAUUCAACUAACUACAUGCCCUGGUUCUUGUGUGAGUACAAAGAAAAAACGUACUUCUUUCUGUUUUUACAAAUAUGAAUCUUGUAUGAUUGUCUCAUUCUUAAUCUGUU